rnacentral:rRNA from 1 species
GUAGCAAUACCUGCCGGCGACCGGCAAACGGGUGCGGAACACGUACACAACCUUCCUUUAAGUGGGGGAUAGCCCAGAGAAAUUUGGAUUAAUACCCCGUAAUAUUGUUGAGUGGCAUCACUUAAUAAUUAAAGCUCCGGCGCUUAGAGAUGGGUGUGCGUCUGAUUAGGUAGUUGGUAGGGGUAACGGCCCACCAAGCCAGCGAUCAGUAACUGGUGUGAGAGCACGACCAGUCACACGGGCACUGAGACACGGGCCCGACUCCUACGGGAGGCAGCAGUAAGGAAUAUUGGUCAAUGGACGCAAGUCUGAACCAGCCAUGCCGCGUGGAGGAUGAAGGUCCUCUGGAUUGUAAACUUCUUUUAUUUGGGAAGAAAGGCAUUUUUUCUAAAGUGUUUGACGGUACCAGAUGAAUAAGCACCGGCUAACUCCGUGCCAGCAGCCGCGGUAAUACGGAGGGUGCAAGCGUUAUCCGGAUUCACUGGGUUUAAAGGGUGCGUAGGUGGCCAGUUAAGUCAGUGGUGAAUCUCCGGGCUCAACCCGGAAACUGCCAUUGAUACUAUCUGUCUUGAAUAUCGUGGAGGUAAGCGGAAUAUGUCAUGUAGCGGUGAAAUGCUUAGAUCUGACAUAGAACACCAAUUGCGAAGG